rnacentral:tRNA from 1 species
UAUUCUUACAUGGCUUCACCCAUGACCAAUGGCAUGAAAAACCACCGUUGUACUUCAACUAUAAGAACAACA